AGCAGUAGCCACGGGAAUACGAAGGGGGCUAGCGUUGUUCGGAAUUACUGGGCGUAUAGCGCACGUAGGCGGAUAUUUAAGCCAGGGGUGAAAUCCCAGAGCUCAACUCUGGAACUGCCUUUGAUACUGGGUAUCUUGAGUAUGGAAGAGGUGAGUGGAAUUCCGAGUGUAGGGGUGAAAUUCGUAGAUAUUCGGAGGAACACCAGUGGCGAAGGCGGCUCACUGGUCUGUAACUGACGCUGAGGAGCGAAAGCGUGGGGAGCGAACAGGAUUAGAUACCCGCGUAGUCCCUGUCUCUUAUAC
rnacentral:rRNA from 1 species